CAUUAAUGGAAAUCAAUUAUCGUACCCUCCGACACACCUCCGCAAUUAUCUUAAUCAGCAGUAUCCAGUAGAUUCUACUUCCGCCUCCAUCGCAACUCCUAAGUUAAGAUCAUUCUGCAAGUAAGAAUGGGAUACUCAAAUUUCUAAUUUUGGCCUUUCGUUUUCUUCAUACUGGGCGUUUUCACUUCCUCACCACCUCUCACUCUGCAGAAGAAUUUGUUCGAGAAGGUAACUCUGCAAGUCAUCUCAGCAAAAGGGAGAAUUGGAAGCAAUGAGAGUAAAUUACUAAUUUACUAAAGUACUGUGCUUGUUGCCAGCUAUGGAAAUGUGUUGAGGUUCAACUAUGCCUGAUACUUAUUUGAUCCACAAUCUUAUCUUGCUUGCUGGAAAUUAAGAUAAGUCAAAGAACUGGGGUGAUUGAGCAAAAAAUUGUUGUAGAAUAGGGGCAUUCCGAGAAUCGAACUCGGGACCUCUCGCACCCAAAGCGAGAAUCAUGCCACUGGACCAAAUGCCCUGCUGUUGACGAUGAUUGUGUUCCUUUAUUGAUGAAAGAGAGUGAUCUUCCCAGCUGGAAAUUAAGAAAGGUCAAAGAACUCAAGCGUUUGAAGCAAAAAAUGUUUGUAGGGAAUUUGGGGCAUUCCGAGAAUCGAACUCGGGACCUCUCGCACCCAAAGCGAGAAUCAUACCACUAGACCAAAUGCCCAGUUGUUGAUGAUUGUUGUGUUCCUUUAUCGGUGAAUGAGAGUGGUGGUAAGUUUGACUCGUAUAUAAAAACCUUUUUUCUUUUAUUUGGUGCAAAAAAAAAAGAAAAAGAAAAAGCUGAUCCCAAUCCCAAGUCCUUGAUGUUUUAUUCUACGAUAUACAGUCACUUUUACACGUGUUAAAAGUGAAAGUUGGAGGGCAAAUCUAGUAGAGAUCAUCUGUAAUGACCCGAUUGAUCUAGAAAUGUGUUUGCCUCUAUCCUUGCUGACUUUGUUUGUUUAUCUUAUUCUCUGCCCUCUUCUAGCAUUCACCCAUUUCAUCAUAUGCUUCUUUCCUUGACAUUGGACCGGAGCAUUCAUAUGCAUCAUAUAAUUGGGUUACUGGGGCUUGACUUUGGAGUUUUAUGAGGGGCUUUGGCUGUAAAACAUUUGUUCUUAGUCAGCAAUUCUGUACUUGCCGUACCGCACCUUUAUCAGAGACAUGGAUUCUGGAACUCUAAUCUAUCUAAACUUGGGCAAAUAGCUUUUUGAAUCAGCUUGGUUGAUGCGAUCUAUUUGAUGGGAGAAUUGCACCUUAAGCAAGAAGAGCAUGCUUUUAGCGUGCCCUUUAAUUGGUCAGGCAUCAUUUUCGUUGGCUGAUCCUGACUGUUUAAAUGGGAAAGAAAAGUCAUGAUAUGCCUCCUCUUGCAAGAAGAGAAAACAAACGGGUGAUCAAAGUGUGGGUAAAUUGACCUGGCUCGACAAGUGCGUAUGCUUCAAUUGGGGGCUCCCUCCCCUGAUUGGCCAUCGGGGUUCGGAACAAAUCCAGGCCUUCGAAUACAAAAUUUCAAAUGGGCUUCUCGGAUCAAGCCGAUCUCUUAACAUGGAUCUGAGCUUUCAUUUGUGAUUUGCAGCCGGGAUCCGCAAAGAGUAGAUGCUGAUUUUAAAUGUUUUAGCUAGCGGACAAUGACGGGCUUUGUGGACCUGUCAAGAGAGAAUAAAAUUUGUCAACCGUAAAGUGCUUAGAAUUAACUUCUGCUACUUGAUUCAGAACUAGUAUCUAUCUACAUAAAGGCCUUCUUGUUUGUUUGAG